UUUAUUUCUCUCGUUUGCAGCGAUGGAGGAAGCCAAUCAGCCACUUGUGUCAAACCUGUAGUCUUCUGGUGCAGACAAAGACAUUGAUCAGCCCAUUAAAAGUGUUAAAGAUUUCGCUAGAGAAUUUUCGAUUAAGUCGAGAAAGUUAUGGUACCUUGUAGGUCCUGCCGUCUUGACCUCUCUUUGCCAAUACUCACUUGGAUCAAUUACUCAAACAUUUGCAAGACAUGUGGGCACCAUUCAAUUUGUAGCUGUUUCGAUUGAAAUGAAUGUCUUUGCUGGUGUUGCUUUUGGAAUCAUGGUAAUUCUACCGUAUUAAGUUUGUGUCUAUUCUGAUAUCAUGUUGAACCAAUUUCAUCUAAAACUUUAUUUCUCGCGAUUGUGAUGGCUGUUAGGUAUGGGAAGUGCCCUAGAAACACUUUGUGGACAAGCUUAUGGAGCUGGGCAACUGGAUAUGCUUGGGGUCUACGUGAAAGAUCCUGGCUUAUUCUCAACAUUGCAGCAAUCCCAAUUUUAUUUCUAUACAUUUUUGCAGAGCCGAUUAUGAAACUAAUAGGUCAAACUCCUGAAAUAUCCAAAUGGGUUGGGAUUUUUUCUCUGUGGAUCAUCGGAUGAUCCCAGAACUUUUUGCUUAUGCGUUCAAUUUUCCCAUUCAAAAGUUCUUACAAUCUCAGAGCAAGAUAGUGGCCAUGGCGGCGAUAUCAGGGGCGGUGGUGAUUUUACAAGCUUUUUUUUAGCUGGCUUUUGAUGCUGAAGUUGAAGUGGGGACUGGGCGCAGCAACCGGGAUGCUCAACUUCUCAUGGUGGCGCAACUCUUGUAUAUUUUUAGUGGGACUUGUGGCGAGGCUUGGUCGGGGU
rnacentral:lncRNA from 1 species